GAUGAACGCUAGCUACAGGCUUAACACAUGCAAGUCGAGGGGCAGCAUGGUCUUAGCUUGCUAAGGCCGAUGGCGACCGGCGCACGGGUGAGUAACACGUAUCCAACCUGCCGUCUACUCUUGGACAGCCUUCUGAAAGGAAGAUUAAUACAAGAUGGCAUCAUGAGUUCACAUGUUCACACUGAUUAAAGGUAUUCCGGUAGACGAUGGGGAUGCGUUCCAUUAGAUAGUAGGCGGGGUAACGGCCCACCUAGUCUUCGAUGGAUAGGGGUUCUGAGAGGAAGGUCCCCCACAUUGGAACUGAGACACGGUCCAAACUCCUACGGGAGGCAGCAGUGAGGAAUAUUGGUCAAUGGGCGCAGGCCUGAACCAGCCAAGUAGCGUGAAGGAUGACUGCCCUAUGGGUUGUAAACUUAUUUAAUAAAGGAAUAAAGUCGGGUAUGUAUACCCGUUUGCAUGUACUAUAUGAAUA
rnacentral:rRNA from 1 species